GGUCAUGGCAUGUCGACUGUGAUCGUCGGUAGCGCCGGCCCAGUUGGGGGGGGGGGGGGGAGGUCCCUGUAAACCUAUCAGCUGACACUGUGGUGGAGAGGGAGCAUGCAUAUGUUUUCAGCAACUGAAUCUUGGCUGUAUCUGAGGUCAGGUUCCUGGGUUGGAGGCAUGGGUUACCAUGAGCCACUUGGGGCAUCCCACAGUCCCCCUGACCCAUAGUUCUUUCAUCUCUGACAAGGAGAUCAUAGCAGCACGCUCCUCACCCAGCCUUGGGGAGGCUUCUGAGAGGUGGAACACACCCAUUUCCUGGCACACACAGGCAUCGCACCAGGCUUAACUCCUGAGCCCUUAACAAUGACUGUCCUUCUCCGCGUCCCGUGAGAACCAUGUUGCGUGCUUGCUGUCAGAGCAGCUGGAGGGUAGAUUUUCAGCAGAGGAGCCCCAGCAGCUGGGGGAAUCCAGGGGAGACGCCCCGGUUUGCAUGCUGCAGAGGGACCAUGAGAGCCAUGUGGACGCAGAGCAGAGUACAAGCAAGGCCCGCGUUCCAGACCUGAAGGGACUGGAGGAGGACAGUCAAGCAACCUCAUUUUCCAGAUGAGCAAACGGAGGGCCCGAGAGAGAAAGGGACUCCUCCAAGGGCACCAGGCAGGUGAGCUGUUGUGCUCCAUUGUUGAGGGUAACGUCCCGAGGAGGACAGAGGUCCCCGUUGCCCUCUGAGAAGGCUUGUCUCCGCUCGCUCUGUCCCGACAGCAAGCUGAGGCUUUGCUGCUGUGGACCUCGCCAUUCAGAUCUUUUGUCAGAAGGGGGAGGGGAGACAGCUGGGGAUCGGCCAGCCCCUCCCACCAUGGGGUUCCCAGGAAGGGGGCAGCCGUCAGUGAGAAGAGGGUAGUGAACCCCACCACCGUGUGUUGACAGCUCAGUUCUCUUUCCGUGAGGUCCGUGUGAUUCAGACACAGGGAUCCCCUGUGCCAGGAGCCCUGAUGGCCAGCAGAAGGAAGAAGCCCUUAGCCUUGGAUACCGCAGAGCUGGAAGUCUGGUCCUGGCCCACCCAAGACCUUGAAACUCGUCCUAAAGUGUCUUGUUUUGUGGCAAACAAAGCUUUCCUUGGGCUAUUUGCAAACCUAAAGCCGCUUGCUCGCUCAUCUCCCUCAUGCCUGUUCUUCAUGGUGCACACACACCGACCAAAGGCCGUGAAGGCCCCCAAGAAUCAGGGCAACGUGGCGCCACCAAAGGCUCCAGCAACCGACUUCAAAGGCACGGAGAUGCGUGACCAUCUGACAAUGAAUCCAGAAUGAUCGUCUGCCAGAAGCGCAGUGAGCCACGAGGGACAACAGCACACUGAGCACACGAGGCGGUAAGAGAAGUUGGUUCUCCAGUCGGGGUGCUCACACGGAGGGCCGAGAUGGCUGCCAUCCUCGGGUACCCCCGUCUCGAUGUGUCCAUGCGGCAAACGACUCGUCUCCUUAGGCACUACGGUGUUCCCAGCAUUUCUAAAACAUAACGGAACUCUUCGCGGGGCUGGAAUUGUGUGGUUGGAGUACAGGGCAUGGGGCAGGUCUCUACAGCGGCACGCCCUGCGGACUGCCAAGGGCCUGGGAUGCACCAGGGGUGGUUGUGUCUGGCCACAGUCCCUUCCGCCCACACGGGGUCCUGCUCCCUGUUGUUUCAGUCCAGAGGAAGAUCGGGCUCUGGAGGAAUAAAAGAUGAGACUUGGGCAAACCCCAGACUUCCCACCAGAUGCCAGGGGACAGGGACGGAGGGAAAGACUUAGGGCACCCCUCUCCCAGAUACAGAAAGAUACAGCCUUUCCCCCUCCCCCAGUUUCAAAAAAAAAUAAGCAAGAACCACUCUAUCCCUUGGAAACACAGUUGUAAAAAGUAUCAAUGAGACUAAAAGAUUCAGAACACCUUUAUAUAUAUGCCGCACGUGCACUGCUGAUCAAAACAUCAAAACAUCUAUGGGAACGGAAUAGGUCUGUCAGCAGCUGUCCUGGGGAGAGCCUGUGGGCGACCCACUGUUCCCUCCAGGUAGAUUCCUGUGGUAAAAAAGAUCAGAUGUCAGCAAUACGUUUUUAAAAGGCUGACAACGGGCCAAGUGACAGUUGCAUAUAUAAUUACACGUCACCUGUGUAAUUACAAGUUAUAGUUACAAUUAUGAUUGUGCAGACACUGGAAGCCAGUGCACGGGGCGGCCCACCUGAGAAUAGUGGUGCUUUGUGGGGCCACUGAGCCCUUUGGGGGUACUGAUGAAAGCCACAGACCUGCUGCCCACCGCCUCAGUGCAGUUGCAGGGGGCUCGUGAGGCCCCAUUUAAGAGAGCCUUUGAUCCGAUUUAAUCUCCUCCAUUUUCAGGAUGGAGUGAGCCAGACAGAGUGGUUGGACAUGGCUGGUGUGACCCCGUGAGGGGCAGAGGGGUGGGGCUGGGGGCCACCGCCGCCCCCACAAGGCCAGUGUAGUGUCCUCCCCCCGCCCCCCUCACUGACUACAGGGGUGAAGGGUCACAGUCUGGGGCUGUCUGUUGACCAUCCAGAAACACCCUCCACGGGGCAGAUGGGAAAUACACGGGCCCCAGCUUCUCCCUCGUAGGGUGUUGGGAGACCAAGGUUUGGGACGGCUGGAGAAUUUGCCCGAGACAGGGCAGGAGUCUGAGCUGUCAGGAUGUGGCCUGGACACCAGGGGCUGUGGGAGGUCAAGGAUGAGAGGGCAGAGCCGGGGAGCUGAGGAGCCGGCCUCCCCAGGGGGAGGGAGGGUCCUGUCCUGGGUGUGCCGGUGGCUCCUGCUGCGGGGCCUCCUGGGCGACAUCAGGAGCGAAGGCAGAUUUAGGAGAACGCGUUGCUUCUCCCCCUUAAGCCCCUUCCCCCCCUCUUGGCUGAGGAGCCGUUGGUCUUUACCAGAGGGUCUCCCCUGCCUCUGGGCCAUCUGGUUUGCCUUUGCCAUCUUGAGGCAUCGUCAGAAAGACGGGUGAGUGAAGACAUGGUGAAGGGCUUGCCCCGAGAGGCUCGACUCCGCCUUGUCUCGUCGCCUGGGAGAAGAGGAGGCUGGUGGGAAGACCCCGCUGGAGGGAAGCGCCGUGUAGGUGUGUGGGUCUGGCGCGCGGAGAGCCACAGCCACCAAGGAAGGGGGGAGCGUGUCUGUGGAGGCGUCGUUCCUGAAAGACGGGUGGAGACCUUUGGCUCACGCUAGGUUGCCCAGCAGCUGGAACGAGCUGCGUGCGAGACUGGCCCCAAGGCCCCAGCUGAGCUGGCAGAGACCCCUGCCUGGCAUGGGCAGUGGCGGGGGUUGGGGGCGGACAGGACUUGGGGUCUUUGACAUCAAGCACAAGGGUGUGGACUCAGGUGCCUAAACCUUUUCCCCCCGAGUUUGGUUUUCUGUUUGGGAAGGACAUUCAGAAGGAGCAGGAGGGGCCCUCUGCCUGCCCGGAGGCCGCUGCGCUGAUUCCUGGUGGCUUGGUUUUUGUGCAGGACCAUGGGGGUGGCAUGUACAGCCCAGGGGGUUUGGGUGCAGACGGGUGAGCAGUGGGUGUGGAGGAUUCAGGAGCUGCGCUGGAGAGCAGACACUGGUGGCCCUUCUCUGCUGCUCUGUCAGCCCUGGUUCACUCUGCGGCCUGGGGAGGUGGGACACCACAGACCUCAGACUCAAGGGCCCCUGUGCCUUUGCCUCGGCUCUACAAGCUGUGUGCUUUGGGACACGAGCCUUUCAAGUUCUGAGCCUCUGUCGCUUUUAUCUGAUAAAUGGGGAUGUUGAGACUCGUGUCCGUGUCGUCGUGCAGAUGAGUAGGUCUGUUACUGGCCUGGGGCCUCACCGGACUCGGAACGGGUGUACCGUCAGUCCCUGCUGUGUGCAGCCGAAGCUCAGCCCGGGGGACGGGGGGUGAAUGGAGCUCUGCGGAGGGA
rnacentral:lncRNA from 1 species